rnacentral:rRNA from 1 species
UAAGUCCCGCAACGAGCGCAACCCUUGUCCUUAGUUGCCAGCCUUAAGUUGGGCACUCUAAGGAGACUGCCGGUGACAAACCGGAGGAAGGUGGGGACGACGUCAAGUCAUCAUGGCCCUUACGAGUAGGGCUACACACGUGCUACAAUGGCGUAUACAGAGGGCAGCGAACUCGCGAGGGUAAGCAAAUCCCAAAAAGUACGUCGUAGUCCGGAUUGGAGUCUGCAACUCGACUCCAUGAAGUCGGAAUCGCUAGUAAUCGUGGAUCAGAAUGCCACGGUGAAUACGUUCCCGGGCCUU